AAAAAUGCUAUGAAAGAAGCGAAUAUUCCUCUAACCCCUGCUGAAAUGCUGGCCAGAUAUUGCGAUUCAAUUCUGCGCGAAAAGGACAUGCCUGAUAAUAUUAAAGUUUAUCAAGAAUUGAGCUACUCGUUCAAGACUGUUUUCCCAUACAUCUACGAAAGUGAUGUGUUCGAAAAGUUUUAUGCGCAACUGAUGUCUAGUCGGCUGAUCCAAAAUUCGGUUCAGUCGACUGAACCUGAAGAAGAGAUGGUUAAAUUACUGCAGCAAGAAUGUGGUUUCGAGUAUGCAAAAAAACUGACAACAAUGCUGACGGACAACAAACUGUCAUCAGAUCUCACAAAUGAAUUCACGCAGACAAACGUUAUUGGUAUUAAAUUUACGAUCAAAGUAUCAACGGUAAUUUUU